rnacentral:misc_RNA from 1 species
GGGCCAUCAAAUUUUUGCAAAGCAUUUUCCAAGUAAUCAAAUUGAGCACCUGCUUCCUUUGCGGUGUCGCCUUUAAAUGAAGAAGCUACUGCGAUGUUAAACGUAUCGCUGUAGGAUAGCAACUCUUCAGCAUACUCUCUUUUAGCAGGAUCAUCUGGGAGAAGAGAAGGUCCUUCAAAGUUGCUAUCAACAUAUUUGAUCAGAUCAAGACUUUCUCCAAUAACUUUCCCAUUAUGUUCUAGAGAUGGCACCUUGUUUAUAGGGUAUACUUUCUCCUUAUACCAGUCAGGCCUGUUAUAGAGGUUGAGAGGAACUAGCUUAAUUUUAUCUUGUAGUCCCUUGUAAUUUCGGGUGAUCCACACACGUUGAGCAUAGGGGCAUAUGUAAGCAGUAUAUAACCUAGUAGUUCCGUCGAACAGAGGAGGUUGUUCGGCGGUGGCAUCCAACGACGGAGGUAGAACCUCUUCCACGAGAGCAGCCAUGGAUGUUCUUCGAGAAAUGAUUGUUGAAAACUUCGCUCUUAGACUGCGAUACUUGGAGGAGAUUCUCCGAGACAGGCGG